rnacentral:rRNA from 1 species
UACGGGGGGGGCAAGCGUUGUUCGGAAUUACUGGGCGUAAAGGGCUCGUAGGUGGCCAACUAAGUCAGACGUGAAAUCCCUCGGCUUAACCGGGGAACUGCGUCUGAUACUGGAUGGCUUGAGUUUGGGAGAGGGAUGCGGAAUUCCAGGUGUAGCGGUGAAAUGCGUAGAUAUCUGGAGGAACACCGGUGGCGAAGGCGGCUUCCUGGACCGACACUGACGCUGAGGCGCGAAAGCUAGGGGAGCAAACGGG